ensembl:lncRNA
GCGGUCCGGUUGCUGAAGCUCAGAGAAUGCUGCUGCUCCAGGCUCAGCCAAGCCCAGGCACCAAUGAGGGUAGAGUGCAGCCUGGCUGCCUUGCCUUGCCACUGCAGUGGCGCCAGUGCACCUCCUUUUUGCUGUGACACCUUGGGAGUGGUAAAAGUCGCCCUAUGACAAAGUUAAGUGCGAGUACGAGUGGGUGGGGACAGUUCUGGGAUCAGGCUCCGGAAUGGAGAAGACAAAAUCUGAGCCGCCUCCUUUUCCUCCCCUAAUCUAACUGCCAAGAUAAUGGAGAGCUCAUGUGUAAAAGACUCUGAGGAAAGAGUACUGUAAUUUUCUUCAGAGUCAGGUGGUGGUAGUAGAUGAGGAAGCUGGGGAGAGAAAUAAACAAUUUGCUUUGUCUUCCGGGUUUUAGUGAUGAGAUCAGAAGUCUAGAUACCGGGUUCUAUUUCUUAAACGCAGUGCCCAUACAAAUGGACCUUGUAGCCCUCAGGUUAGGCUAGGUUAUACUGUGGUAACUGCUAAAACCUUAGUGAUUUACAACCACUUAACAUAGGUUUAGUUCUGGCUCUGCUCAUUCUGUUACUCAGAUACCAAAUCUGAUGAAUCUCACUAUUUUGAGGUCCUAUUGUGUCAUCAUGAGGCUUAAGGUUACCUCCUUCAGAAUGUAGAGCAAGCAGGAAGAAUUUGUCCCCCGAAGGGACAUGUGUUACUUGGUCAAAGCAAGUCAUAUAGCCACACUCAAGUUCAACGAAGUAGCUGCAAGAGGGGACAGAGACUUGUCCUGUGUUGAUCGGUGUCUCCCAUCCACGCUGAUUCCUGCCAGAUCCCUGGCUGCUCCCUGACAGCGUUCAGCUUUGCUGCAAGGCACCCCAGCAACCACUGUUUCUUCUCCAUUCUUCAUCAGCUUGGCAGCCUCUGUGGCGGUCACUCAUUUCACUUGAAUUAGAGCUGCACAGAAAGAGGGGACUGUGACAAGGCUCCUGCUGACGUCAGUUUUUAAAGGCCACGACCCCUAUCUCUUGCUGUUAGGCCCUGGAGAUAUAACCGUGCUAUUUGGCUUCCUUCGUGGGCAGCUGAACUCUGUGGUGGUUGGAAAAAACCCCAUACUGAUGAAUUUCACCUUCAAUUCUUUGAGAUUCAGUCAUUUAUUUUGGCUUUGGAUACGUGUUUAUAAACAACUGACGAUGUUUUCCAAAUGAAUUCUCUUCCGUUUCUCGACCUGCUUUUUUGCAAGAUGGCUCAGGUUUUUGUGUCCAAGGGUGUGUCCUCUGCUGCCAUCUCGU